rnacentral:tRNA from 1 species
CAGUAAAUAGUUUAAUUUAAAAUGUUAAUUUUGGAGAUUAAGGAUGAGCACGGCUUUUUACUGA